CUUUCCCUGCCUCGCGACACCCAGACCGAGACCUCGGGAAUGCUCCGGCCCCCUGCCGCCGUCUCCCGGCCCGGUUCUCUUUCACUAAAAAUAGGCGAUUCUGGCAGCGCCCCUCCUAUGGGGCCUUGGGGGCAAUUGGGGUUUUGUCUUAGAGCCCGUGUGGACCCGGAUGGCGACGGCAGCCCGAGGAGAGGGAGGGCUGACUGUAUGGUUGGCUUUCCGACGACCAGACCCUGCAGGAUUCGGCCUUUCCCUUUGGAGUUUUCCUCCAUCCCCCUCCGUCCCUCCCAGGGGAUGCCCGCAGGCCACAGUGGUCACUGAAGGUCAACCCUGAGCCGAAGGAGAAGUGGCCUCGACCCUGGGGACCCCUUCAGGAGUCUACCUGUGCCUGCGCCCGCCGGACCUGCCGGCCUCUUCCUUCUCAUCCAGGGGGCCUCUUCUCCAGCCUCACGGAGGUGGGAAGCUUGCUGGAGGCCCCUACCUGCCUUUUGGGGAAGACCCCGAGGCUGGCCCACGCCCUGCUGGCAGGACCCUUCCUGACUGGGUCCACCGUUCUUCUGGGUCUCACCACUUCUCCCAGCCCCUGGGCUGCUUCCUCUCUCCCGUGUCUGGGACCCCAGAGGCACCACUUCCAUUCCAUACAAGUAAAAUGCUGUUGAAGGCCCACGGGCAUGACUGCACCCCUCACUAAUUGGUCAUUGGUUUGGGGAGGACACCACUGUCCCAGUGGAACCUUGAGCACACCUUGGAGCCCUCCUCUUCCUCUCCGGACCUGUGCCAAACUGUGAGUGGCACAGAGCAAGGACUGUAUGUGUUCUCUUCUUUGUUGCAUACUCAGUUCCUUGACCACAGUGCCAAGCACACAGCGAGCACUCCCUGUGUAUCUGCUGAGUAAAUAAACGAAUGAACAAACCCAACACAUUUCAGCCAAGUCCUGCUGAUGUUUCUCCUCCGAUCUAGCUCCUCCUUUCCAGCCUUACUUCUGCCACUCCAGAUUUCACCCCCAUCAGCUUCAGACUGGAUAAAAGGAAACCAUUUCUCUAAAGGAUCACUUGCUCUCUCAUUUCAGGCCAUCCUGCAGCCACCAGAACCUUCCACAUGAAAUGAAAGGCUCACCACUUCAUAGGCUUUAAGGAAAUUCUUGGCCAGGUGUGGUGCCUCACUCAUGUAAUCCCAGUGCUUUAAGAGGCCAAGAUGGGAGGAUUGUUUGAGCCAGCUGUUUGAGACCAGCCUGGGCAACGUCAUGAGACCCCAUCUCCACAAAAAAAAAAAAAAAGAAAAUUGGCUGGGUGCGGUGGCUCAUGUCUGUAAUCCCAGCAAUUUUGGAGGCUGAGGCGGGUGGAUCACUUGAGGUCAGGAGUUUGAGACCAGCCUGGCCAACAUGGUGAAACCCCGUCACUACUAAAAAUACAAAAAUUAGCCAGGCGUGGCGGCAGGUGCCUGUAAUCCCAGCUACUUGCGAGGCUGAGGAAGAAUUGCGUGAACCUAGGAGGUGGAGGUUGCAGUGAGCCAAGAUCAUGCUGCUGCACUCCAGCCUGGGCAACAGAGUGAGACUCCAUCUCAAAAAUAAUAAAAAUAAAUUAAAAAAAUUAAAAAUUACCUGCGUGUGAUGGUGUGCGCCUGUAGUUCCAGCUACUUGGGAGGCUGAAUUGGGAGGAUCAUUUGAGCCCAGGAGGUCAAGGCUGCAGUAAGCAGUGAUGGUGCCACUGCCCUCAGCCUGGGCAACAGAACAACAUGCAAUCUUAAAAAAAAAAAAUCCUGGCCAGGCACAGUGGCUUAUGACUGUAAUCCCAGCACUUUAGGAGACGGAGGCGGGCAGAUCACGAGGUCAGGAGAUUGAGACCAUCCUGGCUAACACGGUGAAACCCCGUCUCUACUAAAAAUACAAAAAAUUAGCUGGGUGUGGUGGCAGGCGCCUGUAGUCCCAGCUACUUGGGAGGCUGAGGCAGGAGAAUGGCGUGAACCCGGGAGGUAGAGCUGGCAGCGAGCCGAGAUGGCGCCACUGCACUCCAGCCUGGGCGACAGAGAGACUCCAUCUCAAAAAAAAAAAAAAAAAAAAAAAAAGCCAAGGGGAAGGCCCAACCCUAGCCUUGUCUUCUUUCUCCUCUUUGUGGAGAAGCUCACAGAUGUGGGUGUAGCAGAAGUGUGACUGCGGCCCACGCUGCCUCCCUGCGUCUUCUCACCUUCUCCUUGCCCUGCGCUGUCACACCAGCGAACGAACCACACAGCCUCCCCUCAAGGCAAAAAGCCGGGGUCAGGGGUCAACCUGCCAGCUGCCCACGCCGAGGGUUUGACAGCCUCAGCUAGGGCUCUCUAGGCUCCUCCUCUCCACAGUCUUUAACGGGGAGGAGGCCCGGGGCAAUGCUGCUGGCAGAGGAGGAGUGGGCUCUAGGUUAGGGAGAAGUGUGGCUGUGCACUGAAUUGCUCUUGGCAGUAGCUCACUGAGACUAACUCGGGGGAAGGCACUGUUGGUCCUGGCCUGGGAAAACACGGAAGAGGGCUAGAGGGAGUGAGCUGCAGUGCAUUGCGGGCAGGGUCCUGCAGGCUCCCAGGGUCUCGGCCCCAAGAGACAGAACCCCUGCCCUGCCUGGCCGUAAAUUAGAUGAGGCUGAGAGGAGCAGGGGCUGGAGCUGGUUUUCUCGGAGCCUCUGCAGCGCUAGGCCUUAAGCACACAGCCCCUUCACUCUUCCCGGCCCAUGCACCAGGGAGAGGACACGAGGUGGAGUGGCCUGGCCCCUCUGUCCAUCCAAUCUCUGGCUGCAGUAGGAGAGAGGGCCCCUGCAUGCAUCAUCAUCAAUUCCAAAGGGCUCCUAGGUUUGUGGGAAUUUCAGGCCAGGCAGGUGGUGGGAGAAGGAGACUGAGCUCAGGUUCUUCCCCUAAUCAGAGUGAAGAUCAAAACACCCUGCUCCUGAGUUCCCUGCAUCGGUACCUUCCCUGAGGACAGGAGACGGGGGACCAGGAUGGGAGAAGGUCAGGAGAGAGCUGGGGUUGACUCCCAAGGCCCAGGUUACAGCCCCCUGCUCUCAGCCCCAUCUCACGGUAGGCCCCUCCCCGGUGUGGGCCAGUCCAGCCUGCCCAAGUGAAAUGACCAACGUGCCAGAAAGUUUAAUUUCAAGGUUUAAACAAUAAUAAGUAAUACAUACUGAAAACAAAACAUACAUAUGCCUCAGACCCAGUGACUCCACCCUAAACCCUAUGCCCAGAGGCAAGAAAUGCAUGCUUAUGUUCACCAAAAGAUGGAUACAGGUGAUCAAGGUGCUGUUCCUAAUACUUCCAAACUGGAAACAGCCCUCCUAUCAACCAGAGAACACAUAAGCACAUUUGGCCUAUUUACAUGAUGGAAUAUUUACAUCAAAGUGAGAAUGAACUUACUACAUGCUAUGUCAUGGAUGCAUCUCAUAGACGUUAAGUGAAUUAAGCCUGGCAUAAGAGCAUCAGACUGUACGAUUCCAUUCUCUGAUGCUCACAACAGACAAAACUACUCCAGGGCCAGAGAAGGCAAGACCGUGGUUACGUGGGGGUGGAGAAUGAGUACAGUGGACUCAGGAUUUCUGGGGAUGCUCCAUCCAUCUCCUGUUCUGACUGUACGCUUUGAAAAUUCAUUUCAGCUGCAAAUGUAUGAUUUGUGUCUUUCUGUGGAGAUAUCACAUUUCAAGCAGAGCAGAUAAAGAACUACCAAUAUUCCCAGAGUCUGUAAUAGUCAAACCUGCCACAAACCUACAACCAGGCCUGAUGCAGACCCACUGGUCACGUUCACUGUGUCCAGCUGGGACUUCUGGAAUCUAAGAGACAGUGCCCAGCUGAAUUACAUAAGCCCCCCAAAAGAACAAAACCACCUUUGCCAAAUUAUGAACAAUGAGUGAAACCUACCACGACUGGUGAAGGGGUGGCCUGUCCCUCCACACUUGUGGGCGUUUCUCGUCGGGUGGAACGAGAGACUUGAGAAAAGAAAGACACAGAGACAAAGCGUAGAGAAAGAAAAGUGGGCCCAGGGAACCGGCACUCAGCAUACGGAGGACCUGCGCCAGCACCAGUCUCUGAGUUCCCUCAGUAUUUAUUGAUCAUUAUUGGGUGUUUCUCAGAGAGGGGGAUGUGGCAGGACAAUAGGGUAAUAGUGGGGAGAGGGUCAGCAGGAAAACGUGAACAAAGGUCUCUGCAUCAUAAACAAGGUAAAGAAAAAAGUGCUGUGCUUUUGAUGUUCAUAUACACAAACAUCUCAAUGCCUUAAAGAGCAGUAUUGCUGCCAGCAUGUCCCACCUCCAGCCCUAAGGCGGUUUUCUCCUAUCUCAGUAGAUGGAAUAUACAAUCGGGUUUUACACCGAGACAUUCCAUUGCCCAGGUACGAGCAGGAGACAGAUGCCUUCCUCUUAUCUCAACUGCAAAGAGGCCUUCCUCUUUUACUAAUCCUCCUCGACACAGACUCUUUACGGGUGUCGGGCUAGGGGACAGUCAGGUCUUUCCCUUCCCACGAGGCCAUAUUGCAGACUAUCACAUGGGGAGAAACCUUGGACAAUACCUGGCUUUCCUCAGCAGAGGUCCCUGUGGCCUUCAGCAGUGUAUUGUGUCCCUGGGUACUUGAGAUUAGGGAGUGGUGAUGACUCUUAAGGAGCAUGCUGCCUUCAAGCAUCUGUUUAACAAAGCACAUCCUGCACCGCCCUUAAUCCAUUUAACCCUGAGUGGACACAGCACAUGUUUCAGAGAGCACGGGGUUGGGGCUAGGGUUACAGAUUAACAGCAUCUCAAGGCAGAAGAAUUUUUCUUAGUACAGAACAAAAUGGAGUCUCUUAUGUCUACUUCUUUCUACAUAGACACAGUAACAGUCUGAUCUCUUUCUUUUCUCCACAGACUGGCCCACCUGGCUUCUAACCUUAUAGGCUGUUUUGGUAUUUUUCUCUUGGUUAUUCUAGCACUGAGGCCAAAAUAACUAUGAGAGGGAUUUAGUUUAUAGUUAAACUUGGAGGCAAGGGAAACGAACCCCCUCCACCCCAUCCAGAGAUUCGGGCUGCAUUCACAUGACAAGGUUAGUAUUAUGGCAGGGGCUUGGACCUUGCUAAAGAAUAGGAAUAAUUAAGCACUGAUUGCUGUCGCUUAGCAGGUUUUCUGUAAGUUACCGACUGCCCCAG
rnacentral:lncRNA from 1 species